rnacentral:rRNA from 1 species
GACGAACGCUGGCGGCGUGCUUAAUACAUGCAAGUUGAGCGGAGCCAUUGAUGAAGCUUGCGAUUCAAUGGUCGAGCGGCGGACGGGUGAGUAACGCGUGGGCAACCUGCCCUCUAGUCUGGGAUAACAGUUCGAAAGGGCUGCUAACACCGGAUAAGCUCACGGAGAGGCAUCUUUCAGUGAGAAAAGUUUACGCUAGAGGAUGGGCCCGCGUCCCAUUAGCUAGUUGGUGAGGUAACGGCUCACCAAGGCGCCGAUGGGUAGCCGACCUGAGAGGGUGACCGGCCACACUGGGACUGAGACACGGCCCAGACUCCUACGGGAGGCAGCAGUAGGGAAUUUUCCGCAAUGGGCGAAAGCCUGACGGAGCAACGCCGCGUGAGGGAAGAAGGUCUUCGGAUCGUAAACCUCUGUCUUCAGGGACGAUGAUGACGGUACCUGAGGAGGAAGCCACGGCUAACUACGUGCCAGCAGCCGCGGUAAUACGUAGGUGGCGAGCGUUGUCCGGAAUUACUGGGCGUAAAGGGCGUGUAGGCGGCCAUUUAAGUCAGAUGUGAAAUACCAUGGCUUAACCAUGGGACUGCAUUUGAGACUGGAUGGCUUGAGGAUCGGAGAGGGCAGUGGAAUUCCCAGUGUAGCGGUGAAAUGCGUAGAUAUUGGGAGGAACACCAGUGGCGAAGGCGACUGCCUGGACGACACCUGACGCUGAGGCGCGAAAGCUAGGGGAGCAAACGGGAUUAGAUACCCCGGUAGUCCUAGCGUAAACGAUGGGUACUAGGUGUGGGAGGUAUCGACCCCUUCCGUGCCGCAGUUAACACAAUAAGUACCCCGCCUGGGGAGUACGGCCGCAAGGUUGA